rnacentral:rRNA from 1 species
GACGAACGCUGGCGGCGUGCUUAACACAUGCAAGUCGAACGGAAAGGCCCUGCUGUUGUGGGGUGCUCGAGUGGCGAACAGGUGAGUAACAAGAGAGUAACCUGCCCUUUACUUUGGGAUAACUUCUGGAAACUGGGGCUAAUACUGGAUAGUAGCACUUGCUGCAUGGUGGGGGUUGGAAAGAUUCGGCGGUUGGGGAUGGACUCGCGGCUUAUCCGCUUGUUGGUGGGGUAGUGGCUGACCAAGUCUUUGACGGGUAGCCCGCCUGAGAGGGUGACCGGGCACAUUGGGACUGAGGGACGGCGCAGAAGCGUACGGGAGGCAGUAGUGGAAAAUAUUACACAAUGGGCGGGAGCGUGAUGCGGCGACGCUGGGGUCGGGAUGACGGGCUGCGUGUGAUAAACCGCUUGCGCCGGAGACGAAGCGUGAGUGACGGUAAUGGGUAAAAAAGAACCGGCUAAAUACGUG